rnacentral:tRNA from 1 species
AGCAGCAUGGUCUAGUAGAGAACACUGGCCUGGGAGUCAGAAAGACCUGGGUUUUAAUCCCAGUUCUGUUG